rnacentral:tRNA from 2 species
GGAUGGAUGUCUGAGUGGUUGAAAGAGUCGGUCUUGAAAACCGAAGUAUCAAGAAUACCGGGGGUUCGAAUCCCUCUCCAUCCG